rnacentral:rRNA from 1 species
UACGGAGGGUGCGAGCGUUGUCCGGAAUCACUGGGCGUAAAGGGCGCGUAGGUGGCCGAGCAAGGUCGCGGUGAAAGCCCGGGGCUCAACCCCGGGUCGGCCGUGGCAACUACUUGGCUGGAGCACUGUAGGGGCGGGUGGAAUUCCGGGUGUAGCGGUGGAAUGCGUAGAGAUCCGGAAGAACACCGGUGGCGAAGGCGGCCCGCUGGGCAGGAAGACCUCGUAAGAGGUCGGCUGACACUGGAGGCGCGACAGCGUGGGGAGCAAACAGG